UACAGAGGGUGCGAGCGUUAAUCGGAAUUACUGGGCGUAAAGGGUGCGUAGGCGGUUAGAUAAGUUAGAUGUGAAAUCCCCGGGCUCAACCUGGGAACUGCGUUUGUGACUGUAUAACUAGAGUACGGUAGAGAGGGGUGGAAUUCCUGGUGUAGCAGUGAAAUGCGUAGAUAUCAGGAGGAACAUCGAUGGCGAAGGCAG
rnacentral:rRNA from 1 species